CGAACGCUGGCGGCGUGCCUAAUACAUGCAAGUAGAACGCACAGUUUAUACCGUAGCUUGCUACACCAUAGACUGUGAGUUGCGAACGGGUGAGUAACGCGUAGGUAACCUGCCUGGUAGCGGGGGAUAACUAUUGGAAACGAUAGCUAAUACCGCAUAAUAUUAAUUAUUGCAUGAUAAUUGAUUGAAAGAUGCAACUGCAUCACUACCAGAUGGACCUGCGUUGUAUUAGCUAGUAGGUGAGGUAACGGCUCACCUAGGCGACGAUACAUAGCCGACCUGAGAGGGUGAUCGGCCACACUGGGACUGAGACACGGCCCAGACUCCUACGGGAGGCAGCAGUAGGGAAUCUUCGGCAAUGGACGAAAGUCUGACCGAGCAACGCCGCGUGAGUGAAGAAGGUUUUCGGAUCGUAAAGCUCUGUUGUAAGAGAAGAACGGGUGUGAGAGUGGAAAGUUCACACUGUGACGGUAUCUUACCAGAAAGGGACGGCUAACUACGUG
rnacentral:rRNA from 1 species